GAUGAACGCUGGCGGCGUGCCUAAUACAUGCAAGUCGAGCGGACGGACGCGAAUCUUGCUGCACUCAUGUUAGCGGCGGACGGGUGAGUAACACGUGGAUAACCUACCUCUAAGACUUGGAUAACUUCGGGUAACCGUAGCUAAUACCGGAUGAUAUUUUUAACCUGAUGGUUCAAAAGUGAAAGCCGGUCUUGCUGUCCCUUAUAGCUGGCUGCGCGGUGGUUUGGCUAGGUGGUAAGGUAACGGCUUACCAAGGCAGCGAUGCAUAGCCGACCUGAGAGGGUGAAGGGCCACACUGGAAGUGGGACACGGUCCAGACUCCUACGGGAGGCAGCAGUAGCGACUCUUGGGAGAUGGGCGGAAGCCUGAAGGAGCAACGCCAGGUGGGUGAUGAGAGGCUUCGGGUCGUAAAACGCUGUUAUUGGGGAAGAACAUAUGCGUAAGUAACUGUGCACAUCGUGACGGUACCUAGUCAGAAAGCCACGGCUAACUACGUG
rnacentral:rRNA from 1 species